rnacentral:rRNA from 1 species
AGUGAACGCUGGCGGUAGGCCUAACACAUGCGAGUCGAACGGCAGCACAGUAAGAGCUUGCUCUUACGGGUGGCGAGUGGCGGACGGGUGAGGAAUACAUCGGAAUCUACUUUUUCGCGGGGGAUAACGUAGGGAAACUUACGCUAAUACCGCAUACGACCUACGGGUGAAAGCAGGGGAUCUUCGGACCUUGCGCGAUUGAAUGAGCCGAUGUCGGAUUAGCUAGUUGGCGGGGUAAAGGCCCACCAAGGCGACGAUCCGUAGCUGGUCUGAGAGGAUGAUCAGCCACACUGGAACUGGGACACGGUCCAGACUCCUACGGGAGGCAGCAGUGGGGAAUAUUGGACAAUGGGCGCAAGCCUGAUCCAGCCAUACCGCGUGGGUGAAGAAGGCCUUCGGGUUGUAAAGCCCUUUUGUUGGGAAAGAAAAGCAGCAGGUUAAUACCCCGCUGUUCUGACGGUACCCAACGAAUAAGCACCGGCUAACUUCGUG